UACGAAGGGUGCAAGCGUUACUCGGAAUCACUGGGCGUAAAGCGUGCGUAGGCGGUUCGUUAAGUCUGCUGUGAAAGCCCUGGGCUCAACCUGGGAACUGCAGUGGAUACUGGCGGACUAGAGUGUGAUAGAGGAUGGUGGAAUUCCCGGUGUAGCGGUGAAAUGCGUAGAGAUCGGGAGGAACAUCAGUUGCGAAGGCGGCUCUCUGGACCAGCACUGACACUGAGGCACGAAAGCGUGGGGAGCAAACAGG
rnacentral:rRNA from 1 species